rnacentral:rRNA from 1 species
GAUGAACGCUGGCGGCGUGCCUAAUACAUGCAAGUAGAACGCUGAAGGAGGAGCUUGCUCUUCUGGAUGAGUUGCGAACGGGUGAGUAACGCGUAGGUAACCUGCCUGGUAGCGGGGGAUAACUAUUGGAAACGAUAGCUAAUACCGCAUGACAACAGUUAUUGCAUGAUAACUGUUUAAAAGGGGCAACUGCUCCACUACCAGAUGGACCUGCGUUGUAUUAGCUAGUUGGUGAGGUAACGGCUCACCAAGGCGACGAUACAUAGCCGACCUGAGAGGGGGAUCGGCCACACUGGGACUGGGACACGGCCCAGACUCCUACGGGGGGCAGCAGUAGGGGAACUUCGGCAAUGGACGGAAGUCUGACCGAGCAACGCCGCGGGAGUGAAGAAGGUUUUCGGAUCGUAAAGCUCUGUUGUAAGGGAAGAACGAGUGUGAGAGUGGAAAGUUCACACUGUGACGGUAUCUUACCAGAAAGGGACGGCUAACUACGUG